GACGAACGCUGGCGGCGUGCCUAAUACAUGCAAGUCGAGCGAACGGACGCGGAGCUUGCUGUUUUGAUGAUUGCGGCGGGCGGGUGUGAAACACGUGUAAAACCCCCUUAUCAUAGGGGGAUAACUUCGGGAAACCGGCGAUAAUACCGGAUAAUAUCUUGAUCCGUGUGGUUCAAAAGUGAAAGUCGGUCUUUCUGUCACUUAUAGAGGGUUACGCGCUGCAUUGGCUAGUUGGUACGGUAAAGGGUUAUCAAGGGAACGAUGCAUAGCCGAGCUGAGGGGGGGAUCGGCCACACGGGAACUGAGACACGGUCCAGACUCCUACGGGAGGCACCAGUAGCGAAUCUUCCGCAAUGGGCGAAAGCCUGACGGAGCAACGCCGCGUGAGUGAUGAAGGUCUUCGGUUCGUAAAGCUCUGUUAUUAGGGAAGAACAUAUGUGUAAUUAACUGAGCAGAUAGUGACGGUACCUAAUCAGAAAGCCACGGCUAACUACGUG
rnacentral:rRNA from 1 species